rnacentral:lncRNA from 1 species
UCACCUUUCGAAAUCUAUUGUCAUCCAUUAUGACGUCAUACAACGUAAAAUUACGAACAUAUCCAUUUACUAAGCCAACAAAAACGAAGCACAGUAUUAACAUCAUCCCGAACAUGCUAGUUCCCAAAGCCUUCAAGAAUAUACUGUAUGAAUUAAGUUGUUUUUUUCUGUCACAGUGGUUGCAUUAAAGAUCCAUCCAACCGAUGUGUUUUAAUUGAAGUGUGUUAAAUGGUUCAUAUAGAUUCUUCACUGAUGUACUUAGAACUUAUUAGUUAGAGUUUAAUGCAGCAGUUUUGUUAUAAUUUAUAACUCGCUCCAAUGAAUCCUUUAAAAAGUUUCAUUAAAUUCGAUUUUUUUAUCAUAAAAAUUCUGAUUAAACGCUGAAAGUUAUCAAUACGGAAGCUGCCGAUAAAAACUAAAUCCUUGUUAAAAUCACGAUUCCAUACUUUUUAACUUUAUGCACAUAAUAAAUAUCCCAAAUUAAGAUUGUUUUAAUUCUGCAGAAACUUCUAUAUUUCAGCUAGCAGAAUGACCUGAAACUCUAAAUAAAGUAUGUCUUUUUGAAACUAUACUUUUGCAUUAGAACUCACUCGGCAUUGUCCAUGAUGUUGACCGUUAUAUCAAUAAUGGACAUAAGAACAUACCGGCUACUUAUUGAAAUAUAUCUCCUUUAUUGAAAUAGUAAUUUCCUUUUAAAGAAUACACAAAACGAAUUUAUUCGUCAUUCGCUUGACGCAUACCGUUCUUCCUUCCUAUAAAUGAACACUCAAAUAUCACAUGUAGUUAUAAAGUAACUUGGAUAAUAACACUCUAAUGAUCCUUAUGUUUGAAUUAUAUGGUAGCUCUGAGCAUGUAUAACCGCAAAAGUUCAAGGAAAACAAAUAGCAAAACAAACUAUACUACAUGUUUUAUGAAAGGUAUAAUGUCAGAACACCCUUAAAACUUGUUAAAUAUAAC